UUGGUUGCUCAGUGGUUAGAGCAUCAGCCUGCAGACUGAAGGGUCUUGGGUUCGAUUCCCAGUCAA
rnacentral:tRNA from 1 species